AUUGAACGCUGGCGGCAUGCCUUACACAUGCAAGUCGAACGGUAACAGGUCUUCGGAUGCUGACGAGUGGCGAACGGGUGAGUAAUACAUCGGAACGUGCCUAGUAGUGGGGGAUAACUACUCGAAAGAGUGGCUAAUACCGCAUGAGAUCUACGGAUGAAAGCAGGGGAUCGCAAGACCUUGUGCUACUAGAGCGGCCGAUGGCAGAUUAGGUAGUUGGUGGGAUAAAAGCUUACCAAGCCGACGAUCUGUAGCUGGUCUGAGAGGACGAUCAGCCACACUGGGAAUGCGACACGGCCCAGACGCCUACGGGAGGCAGCAGUGGGGAAUUUUGGACAAUGGGCGAAAGCCUGAUCCAGCAAUGCCGCGUGCAGGAUGAAGGCCUUCGGGUUGUAAACUGCUUUUGUACGGAACGAAAAGCCCUGGGUUAAUACCCUGGGGUCAUGACGGUACCGUAAGAAUAAGCACCGGCUAACUACGUGCCAGCCGCCGCAGUAA
rnacentral:rRNA from 1 species